UGGGGAAUAUUGCACAAUGGGCGAAAGCCUGAUGCAGCGACGCCGCGUGAGGGAUGACGGCCUUCGGGUUGUAAACCUUUUUCAGUAGGGACGAAGCGCAAGUGACGGUACCUGCAGAAGAAGCACCGGCUAACUACGUGCCAGCAGCCGCGGUAAUACGUAGGGUGCGAGCGUUGUCCGGAAUUACUGGGCGUAAAGAGCUCGUAGGCGGUUUGUCACGUCGUCUGUUAAAUCCUAGGGCUUAACCCUGGACGUGCAGGCGAUACGGGCUGAUUUGAAUACUACAGGGGAGACUGGAAUUUCUGGUGUAACGGUGGAAUGCACAGAUCUCAGGAAGAACACCGAUGGCGAAGGCCGGUCUCUGGGUAGUAACUGACGCUGAGGAGCGAAAGCAUGGGUAGCGAACAGG
rnacentral:rRNA from 1 species